AGCAGGUUCCACGGAACAGCUGGCUCAUGAGUAGAGUCACGGCAACUUUCCCUGGGAAGGACAAUCGAGUAAGGAAGGUCGAGGUCACAGUAAAUGACCAAAGCACUCGAAAGACCUUUUUGCGACCAGUUACUGAAGUCAUUCUUCUUUUGCCAAAGGACUGAUUCCUGCUAAGUUUUGUUGUUGAUAGUGACCUCACAGAGGUCAGGCGGGGAAUGUGUUGCCCUUAAGGCAGUUAAUAAUUUAAUAAAUAUGUUAAAUGGUUUAAAAUGUUUAAAUUAAGCAUUUCUAAGAGUUUCUUAUAAGUAUUUCAUGUGUAUUUGUAAGUUUUAUUUAAAAAAUAUUAGCGGACAUUUUGAUUCCGCUCGGCCGCGUUAACUUCCGGUUCGGCCGCGAUAACUUCCGGUUUCGGUUUCAUGGUAAUCAGAGCAGGCGAAAUCCAGCAUGGUACGGUCAGCAAUCUGUCGCCAUUCUCACUAAAGCACUGUCAAGGCAAUGCCUUUUCACCAUCUGGAGAAGAAAUUAAAAUGCAAAAACGUCCUUUGUGGUCCUGGUCUUCUUCAGUGGUUUAUCUACGUGUUCAUUUGGCAACAUAACAGAUCCUGUUCCCACUAAAUUACUGAAAGACAGGGGCGGACUGGCCAUCGGGAGCACCGGGACAUUUCCCGGUGGCCUGAUGGUCAUUCUGGCCUGCCGGCUGCCGCUGUGCAGUCGAUCAGGCUGACGUGCAAUAGGCUGGUUACGGUAUGCAACUGCGAAUUAAUUUACGGACUUAUGAAUCUACAAAUCAUGCGAUCGCGGAGUGAAAAUGACCCAACAUCACCGAAGCAGUGCCUAAUUGGCUAUAUCCAGAGGCAGGCUUCAUCUUAGAAAACCGUGCAAAAAAAUGGAGCAUAAAAGCAAAUCAGGAGCAGAGAGGAAACGUAUAAAAAGGAGAAAAGCCCUGGCAACAGAUGCAGCAAGUUGAUGCAAAAUCCCAGCCAUGUUCGCCAGUAAGGCAGCAGGUCUGUCAGAAUUACAUUUACAUUAUGUUUACUAGGGGUGGGACGGUUCACUGAAAAAAAAUCGAACUGUUCGGUUCUCCACACACGGUUCGGAACGCGCUGGGACCGCGGUUCAACUUAAAUCUGAGAAAGCAUCUGUUUACUAUAAAUAACACGUAAAACAAACAGGGUUCAGUUAAUAUAUGUUUCUGUUGAUGGAUGUACAUUCUGGCUUCACAGACAUUACAACAACAGAGAUGAGAAAAAAUAAAUAAAUAAAUAAAUAAAAAAUCGUGGACAAACCAUUCACUCUUGUUCAAUACGAAUACGAACACUGGAUCAGUGCAUUCUUUUAAAGUGACAGUCUUUAUAUUAAUCGAACAGCAACAACAAAGAAAUCACUCACUGCUCUUGAUUGAAAAGCUUUUGUAACUUUAAUAAAGAAUAAUCUUUAAUUUAUACAGUCCAAAAUGCAAUGCUGUUUUACAUUUGAUUACUUUAUUAAAUUUCUGUAUAAAAACUAAUGCUAUACCUACCUGAAAGUCAGUUUAUUUUAUUUGUAUCUUUACUCUAUUGUAUUUAUUUGUGCUGUUGCUUGUAGCUAGAAUAUUCUAAAUAAUAUGAUAAAAUAUACAGUAUAUUUUUUGAAAGUAUAGUUUUUCCAUAAACAUAGCACAUAAAACGGUACCGAAACAGUGACUCUAAAACCGUGAAACAAACCGAACCGUGAAAAAGUUGAACUGUUCCACCCCUUAUAUUUACGUAAUCAUUUGGCAGACGGACGCUUUCUUCCAAAGCGACUUACAAUUGAUAAAAACUAUUCUAAAAAAAAUAUUACAAAUAUAUAUGAUAGAAGUUUUAAAAGAGCAUCUUAAUGACAAACUAGCACACUGUUUUACAUAUGGGGAUACAGUAUUUUUUUAGUGCCAAAUUUGACCAGAAAUGAAGAAAUUCAUGACAAAUGACUUGCUUCUUGCUUCAGACCAAGGCUGCAUCUCAUUGCUAGUUUUACUUGAUCUUAGUGCUGCAUUCGACACCAUAGAUCAUGACAUACUCAUAGAUUGAUUACAAAACUAUACAGGUAUUCAAGGGCAGGCUUUAAGAUGGCUUAGAUCCUACCUGUCCAAUCGCUAUCACUUUAUUUAUUUAAACGGUGAGUCAUCUCAAUCAUCACCAGUAAAGUAUGGGGUGCCACAAGGAUCUGUCCUAGGUCCUC
ensembl:lncRNA